rnacentral:lncRNA from 1 species
GGAAGUACAUCUCGAGCUGGGCCUGAGUUUCCAACACAAAUAGCUGAAGCCUAGCCAACUCGACACAAUCGAUUACUUUCUGCGAAAUCACAUUGAAGAAGUAACACAUUCGUGUGAUAACCAUCUUUACGAAUACUAGUUUGAUUGCCCGGAUCACAAUAGCAAGAAAAACUAUGAUUCUCACAUGGCAAUCAUAAGAGUUAUGGCCGGCAAGCGUCAUGUCCUUCAAUGAGAUUAUUGACCGGAUGUUUGAUGAGAAUCCGGUCGGCACUUUCAAC